rnacentral:rRNA from 1 species
CGGCGGAACACGUGAAAUUCCGUCGGAAUCCGGGAGGACCAUCUCCCAAGGCUAAAUACUCCCUAGUGACCGAUAGUGAACCAGUACCGUGAGGGAAAGGUGAAAAGCACCCCGGAAGGGGAGUGAAACAGUUCCUGAAACCGUGUGCCUACAAGUAGUUAGAGCCCGUUAAUGGGUGAUAGCGUGCCUUUUGUAGAAUGAACCGGCGAGUUACGAUUUGUUGCAAGGUUAAGCGGAAAAAGCGGAGCCGUAGCGAAAGCGAGUCUGAAUAGGGCGCAUAAGUAACAGGUCGUAGACCCGAAACCAGGUGAUCUACCCAUGUCCAGGAUGAAGGUAAGGUAAUACUUACUGGAGGUCCGAACCCACGCACGUUGAAAAGUGCGGGGAUGAGGUGUGGGUAGCGGAGAAAUUCCAAUCGAACUUGGAGAUAGCUGGUUCUCUCCGAAAUAGCUUUAGGGCUAGCCUCGAGGUAAAGAGUCAUGGAGGUAGAGCACUGUUUGGACUAGGGGCCCUUCUCGGGUUACCGAAUUCAGAUAAACUCCGAAUGCCAUGUACUUAUACUCGGGAGUCAGACUGCGAGUGAUAAGAUCCGUAGUCGAAAGGGAAACAGCCCAGACCACCAGUUAAGGUCCCCAAAUAUAUGUUAAGUGGAAAAGGAUGUGGGGUUGCUUAGACAACCAGGAUGUUGGCUUAGAAGCAGCCACCAUUGAAAGAGUGCGUAAUAGCUCACUGGUCGAGUGACCCCGCGCCGAAAAUGUACCGGGGCUAAACAUAUUACCGAAACUGUGGAUGAACCUCUUUAGAGGUUCGUGGUAGGAGAGCGUUCUAAGGGCGGUGAAGUCAGACCGGAAGGACUGGUGGAGCGCUUAGAAGUGAGAAUGCCGGUAUGAGUAGCGAAAGAAGGGUGAGAAUCCCUUCCACCGAAUAUCUAAGGUUUCCUGAGGAAGGCUCGUCCGCUCAGGGUUAGUCGGGACCUAAGCCGAGGCCGAUAGGCGUAGGCGAUGGACAACAGGUAGAGAUUCCUGUACCAGUGCUAAUUGUUUAACCGAUGGGGUGACACAGAAGGAUAGGGAAUCGCACGAAUGGAAAUGUGCGUCCAAGCAGUGAGUGUGAGAAGUAGGCAAAUCCGCUUCUCGCGAAGCAUGAGCUGUGAUGGGGAAGGAAAUUAAGUACGGAAGUUCCUGAUUUCACGCUGUCAAGAAAAGCCUCUAGGAAGAGUAGUACUGCCCGUACCGCAAACCGACACAGGUAGAUGAGGAGAGAAUCCUAAGGUGAGCGAGAGAACUCUCGUUAAGGAACUCGGCAAAAUGACCCCGUAACUUCGGGAGAAGGGGUGCUCUAUUAGGGUGCAAGCCCGAGAGAGCCGCAGU